UAAACUCUUUUAGUAAACAUAAACUUCAUUUGGUGAAGUUCAAGCUUCUGCCGGCGGAUGACUGUGGUAACUCUUUAGGCGUUUGACAUGUUUUAAAACUCGCUUUAAAGGCGUUUCUGAGGCAUGUUUGUUGCGGUUUGAGGAAAAACGUUUACUGAGGAAAAGCUUGAGAGGAAUGCGGAGUCUGUCGAUGAUUAAUCUUCAAGUUGGCAUUGAAAUGUGAGACUCACCUGAUGAGACACACACUCUUGUGUGACUGACUGUGGAUAAAGUUUAAAGGCAGAUUUAACAAGCAAACACUCCAGUGGGUGUUCUUGAAGUUUUUCUGUCCUUUUUUUUUCCACAAACGCGCGCAAAUAGUGACGUAUACUGAACGUGGGUCUAAAAGACGCAAUGUAUCUUUUUAGAAUUAUUUUUCACUUUUAGUGAUUUUAAAUUAAUCUAAUUAAAUUUUGCUGUUGCAGUGUAGUCGGUUAUUUUUCAAGUUUCUUUUGACAAACGGAUUAUUUUGCGUAAAGUGAAAAUCUUCGACCUGUCAAGACUAACGUUACCUUUUAAAGUCUUGAGGUAGAAUUCACAAAUAUAUUAUACAGUGUAAAAAUACAAAAAAAACUUUAACUUCUGUUCUUUUUCUGUUUGUUUUUCCAGUCUACCAUCUCUGACUUCCGAUGGAGGCAUUAUUUUUAUUUACUUGAGACACACGACUAACAUUUAUGUAAUUUAACAUUUACUUUUUUUCCGGCAGAUUGUUUUUAAUUUGUCCUUUACAUUAAAUUAUGCUUAAGUAAUGUACCACUUGCCGUAAAUUGAGUGAAAUAACUCCCUCUGAAUGGAAGUAUUGAAGUAUUCUGUAUUGAAUCUUGUUUUUGUUUUUUAGUGACAUUCUACUGUAGUUUCUCCUGAGUGUUUGGGUCCUGUCUAGAUGUGACCUCUGACCUCUUGUAAAGGCAUUUCCUGUAGUUCAGUGUUUCACUUACACAAGACUGUUUGCAAACAUUCUGUCAGAAAAUAUCAUUUAUGGAGUUUGUGAGGAUGGUUGUGUAAAUGUUCCUGUAGUUUAAGCUGGACUCUCGUUCAGGGUUUGGCGUGGGAGUUGCGUCCUGUCAUUGUUACUGGGCGGCACUGGGUCAGUGUGUUUGGUGUGGUGCGUUCAGAUUGUUCAUUGUGUUCAAGCCUGAACCUGCAAUAUUUAGGACAGGGGUUUCCUCCCUCUGCGCUUCGACCACGUCCCCCAGACAUGCCCUUUGUUUCUGUCCCGUUUUUCUGACCUUCAACAAAAUCAACUGUUUAGUGCGCUUAAGUGGCACCGUGUCCCUUAUUUGUGGAGUGUUUAUUCCGUUUUGAUUAAAUUCCUGUGUUUAUUUCCCCUCUCAGCUGUUGGCAGUGUUUGAGCAUUGAUGCUCGUGUUUCAGGAACAUUGAGGAUAAAGUUUAUGCUGAGGGUUUUCGGACUGAACCGAGACCGUUCUCGCCUGCAGCCGUUCCUCAGAGCCGGUCAGGAAAUGAUGGCUUUCCAGUGGAUGAUGUGUUGGUGGAAAAGUGUAGAGGAAUCUGACCGAUGGACAUGUGUCCAGUUAUAGACUCUGAUGCUUUGCUGUUUUAGCACUUUAAUGAUCCGACACGGUUUUAUUGGUGGUACCAUGGUGCUCAAUCCUACCGUAUUGUACCAUGGCAGUUAUAUGAUACUUCAUGUUAUUAUCAUGCAUGUCCAUAACAUCAUGGUAUUAUGAUGCUUGUCAAAAAAUUGUUGUUUUCUUUUUGUAGUUGGUGCAGGAUAAAAAGGUGACUCUUUCCUUCCUAAACAUGUCUGGGUCAUUAUAAAUAUAAUUAAUUAUUUAAUUUAAUAUUAAUAAUUUGAUUAAUGACUAUUAAUGAGACUACUUUUUUGCAUUUUCAUGAUUUUAAAUUUUAUUUGGCUUUUUUUCUGCACUGAGUGAUCGAAAUGACAGGACUUUUAUUAUUAUAUGAAUACUUUUCAACAUUACAGGACAAAUUGCUCUCGGUUUACACUGAGAAUAAUAAGACUAGCAAAACUCAGGGGUAUUAAUACAAAUUUCAUUGUUUUUUUUUGUAUUAUAUAUUAUAUUAAAUCGAAUCCAUUUUGAAAAUUAUUGGAGUUAAAUAAUCCUGUAAAAAAACCCAGUAAACUACUGGCAGCUGUUGUUGGCAGCAUCAUACCAUAAAAAAAAAAUACGGUGUUACUGUUUUUGAAAUUAACAGCUAAGUACUGUAUUGUCAGCUACAGUAUAUAACUAAUUUAUAUUAACACAAAAACGGUAACACACCGUUUAGUUACCGUAUGAUGCUGGCUACCGUAGUUUACUGUUUUUUUUUUGUUUUUGUUUUUUUUAACAGUAUUUUUUUUUUCUAGUGUAAAUUGUCAACAGACUCUUUUGUGGGGAAUUUGUAUUAGUCACAUUAAAGAAAAAAAAUCUUCUUUUUGUUUUAUUGGUCCUGGACAUGUUUUUGUGAGACUGAGCCGAAAACCAGAGUCUUUCAGAUGGAGUGUGUUCCCCCUCUGAAGCGUUUGGAGAAUGUGAUGGGUCAGCCUCAACCAAAGUUCUCCCUCUCUCCCCUCUUUUCCGUAAAAGGUCAUGGCACGCUGUGUCCUUCAUCCAAUCUUUCUCUCCUGCCCUCUAGAUCUGGAUAGAGUUGCUACAUCUGUUUUUAAAUGCUCGUUGCUUUUUGGGUAACUCUAGAAUCUGUGAUACUUAGUUUUAAUUUGUCGGAUAAAAUGUGUUCUUGGAAUCGAGGUCGCGUUUCUCUUAGCUAUGUUCGUUCUUCGAGUAACUUUUUUUUUUCUUUAUUUAUUUGAUUGCCCUUUGCUCUCUCUCUUUGUUCACUGUAAUAUCAUUUGAUCCAUCCUGUUAAUUUGCCGAGUUAAAUUCGAUUUUCUACCUUCCACUCACAUUGGAGCAAUGAUGCUGUCCGUGGCCUGCAGAAGUCUCUGCAUCCAUGCUUAGGGUCACACACACUUGAUCACCACGCACACACUUCUGCUCACUAAACUAACACGAUCUCAUGAUUUUGAUCUGAACACAUAAUAGCAAACUCUGCAGUCAAACGGGGAGACUCUGACACAAUAGGAAGGGAGAGAGACGUUCAAAGGUACGAACACUCUUUGUUAGCGGGCUGCCUGUCGACAUCAAACCACGUGAGCUUUACCUGCUCUUCAGACCCUUCAAGGGAUAUGAAGGAUCUCUCAUAAAAUUGACCUCAAAACAGCCUGUGGGGUUUGUCACGUUUGACAGCCGGUCUGGGGCUGAAGCGGCCAAGAAUGCCUUGAACGGCAUCCGCUUUGACCCAGAGAGUCCUCAGACGCUUCGUCUGGAGUUUGCAAAAGCCAACACAAAGAUGGCGAAGAGUAAACUGAUGGCCACGCCAAACCCGUCCAACCUGCACCCGGCUCUUGGUGCACAUUUCAUCGCUCGAGACCCAUAUGACCUGACGGGGGCAGCACUGAUUCCUGCGUCUCCUGAGGCGUGGGCUCCGUAUCCUCUCUACACCACUGAACUGACCCCAGGCCUGCCGCACGCCGCCUUCACCUACCCCGCCGCUGCUGCUGCCGCUGCCGCCCUGCACGCCCAGAUGCGCUGGUACCCGUCUCCCUCUGAAAGUUCUCAACCGGGCUGGAAGUCACGCCAGUUCUGUUAAAUCCAUGCCGUUCCGUAACAGACGUUUAGUUAUUUCUCCCUCCUGUUUGAAUGAAGGACCACUGGGCUCAGCGUUUUAAUUUAAUCAGGUUUAUUUAAUGGACAAUCUAAGCAUGAAGGAUUAUUUCCUGGAGGAAGUCUUCUCUAAAGCACUCUGAGGACGGUGACGAACCUCACGGUACUGUCUCCAUUUCAAAAGCUGCGCUUGACGAGCCAAUCAGGCGCAGACGUUCAACAUGUCUAGCUGCUCCUGUAGAUGGUUUCUUUUUCUUUUCUUUUUGGUGUAUCGUCAUUCUGCAUGCGAUUAAAGUUUUAGAAUGCAAACCUUUUAGUCCCAGCUUAACCCUAAAGGUUUUCAGCCUCUUGUACUUGCAUUUUGUUAAAGGUGGAGACCUGAAUUUGAUUUUUGCAAUCCAGUCUCUGUGUAUUUUUGUUUCCUCUUUUAAAGAACUGAUGACAUGCACUGGGUGUCUUGUUUCCGUUUGUGAUCCUCUGCCCUGAAUUCCCCAAACCUCUGCUAUCUGUGUUUGCUUGGCGAAUAUUUGAACAAAAAAAAAGAAAUGUACAAGUAUUUUUGUACACUAGUGUAAUGAAUAUUUAUGCAUUUUUGUUUUGUGCAAUUAAAUGAGUAUAUAUGUAUGAGCAAUUUAGUGUUCCCUUGUUAUUUUUUUGGUGUUUUCGUUGGAUGUUAAUUCUGUCUAUAACCUGUUUGAAGUGCAAUUGAUUUUUUUUUUUUUUGCUCUGUGUUACAUACUGAAGUUUCCUGUGGCAGUACUGCGAGUUUAAACGGACUGCCGACAUGAGAUUGCUGUAUUAUAAUAUAUAAAAAAAAAAAUUAAAAAUGCUGAUCUUUUUUCUUUUUCAGAAUGUGAAACUGGAGAAUAAAAGGAAAUCUGAGAAUC